rnacentral:tRNA from 1 species
GCUUUUAUAGGAUAGUUAAAAUCCAUUGGCCUUAGAAUCCAAAAACUCAAAACAUUUGAUAAAAGCA